rnacentral:rRNA from 1 species
UACGAAGGGGGCUAGCGUUGCUCGGAAUUACUGGGCGUAAAGCGCACGUAGGCGGUUUCUUAAGUCGGGGGUGAAAUCCUGGAGCUCAACUCCAGAACUGCCUUCGAUACUGAGAGACUUGAGUCCGGGAGAGGUGAGUGGAACUGCGAGUGUAGAGGUGAAAUUCGUAGAUAUUCGCAAGAACACCAGUGGCGAAGGCGGUCUGCUGGGCAGUUGCUGACACUGAGGCGCGACAGCGUGGGGAGCAAACAGG